rnacentral:lncRNA from 1 species
UCGAGCACAAGAUCCCGCUUUGGACUUGGAGACGUUCUGUCAUUUAGUAUCUGAAGUUUAAUCAGGCUCUGAUGGUUGCAUAGACGACACAUAUUUCUUGCUACCACUGGGAGGGUACUGGACAGGCAUAAAGCAAAUGCCUCGAGGCUGAAUAUGAUGAAAAUUUGUAAGUAGAUUAGACUUAAUAAUGGAAAAUAAAAUUCUCUCCCAUUCCUCUAUCUUCAUAUGAGUUUCUCCCCUGAAACCAUUUAUGGAUUUGUAGCUAAACUUUUACAUCCUAAAAUUGUUUGCUUCAACUGAAACCUGCAUGUGGUGAUCAACUUUACACAACUUAAAAGUUGAUAUGUAGAACAUUAACAAAGUUUUGCAUGUAUGCUGAUUUCAUAGUCUUUUCCCUCCUCUUUAGCUUGGUUGAAACCAAAGUUUAAUCUUGGCCUACUGCAGUAUGGUUGAAGAUUCAUUGAGCAGAUACAAAUUCUCCCUUUUGGAUCAGAGAAUAAGCUUGGCCAAAUCAGUGGUUGAUUGAUUCAGCCAUUUGUUACAUUAGAGUUUUUCACUAUUGUUUCAUUGCUAUCUUCUUUUCAAUCUUCUUGAGUGGAGAUGACAGUUUUGUAUAAUGAUAUUCCCUAUGUGAUAUAAACACACUCAUAACUUGCAUCAUUCUAUAAGAAUGGUCAAGGAAUAACAGUUGUAGCACACCUUCAUUUCAUCUCCAGUUGUAUUUGGAAAACCUUUCAAGUGCUUAAAAAGUUAGUUGAGAGAGGUGUAUGUUGAAAGAAGUGCUUUUGCAUUCUCCCUUGAGGGAGAAACCAAAAUGCUGUGAUGUGAAAGUUUCUUUGAAGUUUAGUGGGAAUAUUUGGUUGGAGAGAAACGAUAGAAUUUUUGGAGACACCGAGAAAUCGGAUAAGGAGGGUUGGAAGAGGUGACUAGUUUUGAUGUUUUUUCCACACUCUCGUACUCUCGUUCUCGAUUUUAUGAGGUUCCAGCCAAUAAUAAAAUAGAUAACAAAAAUUGAAUUUGAUACUCAAUUAUUCAAAUUAUUGAACUCCAAAUAAUUAUAUUUGACUUUAUUUCUUGUAGGUUGUAGGUUGUUCUCUUUCUAUUUACUAAUUGAGUAUGAGAUGAGAAUUGAGAUAACAAAAGAAUUAAAAUGAUCAUAAAUUGUUUUUAGUAUAUGAUCACAACUUAAGUACUAUUAGGCCCCACUCCAACUUAUUUUGGAAGUGACCAUUUCUCUAGUGAUGCCUUUCUCAUUAUUUCUUUCCUUUUAUUAUGAAUUGUAUUUACAUAGUUGAACAAAAAUAUGGAUCUAUAUACCUUUAAAUUAUGAACCAACAUUUGUUUCUAAACUUUUAUAUCCUUCCAUUACGUUCUUUGAAAAAACUUUAUAUGCAACUCAUAAACUCUUAACUUUCAUAGAUGAAUUUUUCUUAUUUUGUUUGGCCAUUCUUAACUAUUUGCUUAUGUUGCAUUUUAUUGGCCAUUUUUGUUUAUGUUUGGCCAAUCUUGGCUCUUUUGAUAUUGUUUUGAAUCUUUCGUUGUAAUAUUUCUUGUUUAGGGUUUGUUUUCGGUUGGAUUACGUUUAAAUCCUAGCAAACCGCCUUUUGCCAAUAAAUGUGAAGGUACGUAGGUUACUUUUUCUUGUGUAAUCACUUUUAGUGAUUUGGAUUUCUUUUGAAAAUUGUCUAUUUUAAUUUGUAAGAUUGACAUUUGAAUAAGUAACACGUACACAAGAUUGAAAAUUACUGGUUAAAUUUAGGAGUUUAAAUGUCUCAAAUUACAAGUUCCACACGAAAUUGGUCGAACUAAAUUUCUCGAGGACAAUGUAAAUUGGUACAGUUAAGAAAGCUUAGAGCUUAAAUUCAUACCAUUGUUACAAUUGUGAUACCCUGAACUUAGGAGGGAAAUAUAAAUAAACCGAGAUCACACCAAAUGAGAGAAAUCACGAGAAUAUGAAAGUAUAAUUAAAAAAAACUUUAAAAAAUUGAGAGCUACUACUUUAUAGUAGCCCAAAAUGCUUAGUUUAGAUUACUCAUACCUAAAGUUGUAGAAGAGUAUGGUAGCUAGGACAUGUCGAAUUCAUAUUUUAAAUCUUGACUUUGGAGGUUAAACAAUCCUCAAAGUUUAAAAGUAUAGAUUGAUAUUUCAAUGGUAUAUUUUCACUUUUACUUCCUAAAGUCUCACUCAAUCAAUUGACGUGGUUUCAAAAUUUACCACAACGAGUACAUAACUACACAUAUAUGAAACAAUUGAUGGUGAAUUAAUAGAGAGCAUCUAAUUAAAUGAUUUUUGUUUCCUUAUAAAGUUAUGAGGCUAAAAUAGGUAUUUUCUAAAGUUUAAACACCAAGGGAAAAAAACAUUCAAUUUUCCCCUUUAAAUCACAAUCACAAUCUUUGAAAAAAAAGAGAAGGAAAUAAUAUAUAUGUAUAUAUAUAUUUUUAAAAAAGACUAUUAGAACAUCACAAGAAUUACUUUUUUUACAAGCUUUUUUUUCUAAAAAAAAAAAAUAAAGCAUGCAAAGAAAAAAAGUGGAAAGAACUUGGGGAUGGAAAUGGAAUAUAUAUAUAUAUAAUAUAUUAUUGGUGAAUAAUAUAGUUUAGAGACUUUGAGGCCAUCAAAGAAAUGGAAUUAAUUUGAUUUGGAGGACUUACCCAUUACCCAAAACUAAUAAUUAACAUAAAAUCUUCCCAAAAAUAGAGUAAUAUUGAUGUGGAAAGGCAAAUAAAGUUGAAUAUCUUUUGGGACUUCCACUCAAAUAAAAAGCAAUUUCAAAGCCAAAAAGCAGUUUUUUUAUUUUUUGCCUUCCAUAAUUUAGGCGAGUUAGAGCCUUUUCACUAUGAUUUGAUAACUUUUGUAUUACUAUUAUUAUUUUUAUUAUUUGGCUUGAUUGGAUUCGUAUUUACCAAAGUAUUACUUAUAAGGUCGACAUUUACGUCUCCAUUAACUUUUUAAUAAUAGAUAUUAAAAAAUCUACAAUAAGAACUCAUAACGCUCACCAAAUUCACCAAACUGGUGACUAAUGUGGCCGCAAAAGCUUCCUCUCACCGGUGCAGAGCAGAAUGCGUGGCUCCUCGAAGACUGGCUGGAGAAGAGAUUGAGAUGGCCGACGACAACAUAAGGUUCACAUGAGGAGAAGAGAAAGAAAACAAAAAUUAUUUCUCUUUUUUCUUUUUAACUUUGAUGCAUUCCAAACUCC